GACGAACGCUGGCGGCGUGCUUAACACAUGCAAGUCGAACGGAAAGGCCCUGCUUGCAGGGUACUCGAGUGGCGAACGGGUGAGUAACACGUGGGUGAUCUGCCCUGCACUUCGGGAUAAGCUUGGGAAACUGGGUCUAAUACCGGAUAGGAGCCAUCUUUAGUGUGGUGGUUGGAAAGUUUUUUCGGUGUAGGAUGAGCUCGCGGCCUAUCAGCUUGUUGGUGGGGUAAUGGCCUACCAAGGCGGCGACGGGUAGCCGGCCGGAGAGGGUGUACGGCCACAUUGGGACUGAGAUACGGCCCAGACUCCUACGGGAGGCAGCAGUGGGGAAUAUUGCACAAUGGGCGCAAGCCUGAUGCAGCGACGCCGCGUGGGGGAUGAAGGCCUUCGGGCUGUAAACUCCUUUCGCUAGGGACGAAGCUUUUUGUGACGGUACCUAGAUAAGAAGCACCGGCUAACUACGUG
rnacentral:rRNA from 1 species